rnacentral:rRNA from 1 species
GAUUAUGGCUCAGGAUGAACGCUGGCGGCGUGCUUAACACAUGCAAGUCGACGAGGUUCAUUUUACGAUCCCCUCGGGGGUGACGAGUUGAACCGAGUGGCGGACGGGUGAGUAACGCGUGGGUAACCUGCCCCAUACAGGGGGAUAACAGUUGGAAACGACUGACAAUACCGCAUAAGCGCACAGGGAGGCAUCUUCUGGUGUGAAAAAAUUCCGGUGGUAUGGGGAUGGGCCCGCGUCUGAUUAGCUAGUUGGCAGGGUAACGGCCUACCAAGGCGACGAUCAGUAGCCGACCUGAGAGGGUGACCGGCCACAUUGGGACUGAGACACGGCCCAAACUCCUACGGGAGGCAGCAGUGGGGAAUAUUGCACAAUGGGCGAAAGCCUGAUGCAAGCGACGCCGCGUGAGUGAUGAAGUAUUUCGGUAUGUAAAGCUCUAUCAGCAGGGAAGAAAAAUGACGGUACCUGACUAAGAAGCCCCGGCUAACUACGUGCCAGCCGCCGC